rnacentral:rRNA from 1 species
AUACGGAGGGUGCGAGCGUUAAUCGGAAUUACUGGGCGUAAAGGGUGCGUAGGCGGUUUAAUAAGUCGGGUGUGAAAGCCCCAAGCUCAACUUGGGAAUUGCAUUCGAUACUGUUGAACUUGAGUGUGGUAGAGGGAAGCGGAAUUCCGGGUGUAGCGGUGAAAUGCGUAGAUAUCCGGAGGAACACCAGUGGCGAAGGCGGCUUCCUGGACCAACACUGACGCUCAAGCACGAAAGCGUGGGGAGCAAACAGGAUUAGAAACCCCGGUAGUCC